UUCUUCCUCUUUCUGCCCCAUUUCUGUCUAUAUAUAACUCUCUCAGAUGUCAGGCUGGGCAGAGAAGGUAUCCCGGCAGAAAUUGACAUCCGUUCCUGAAUUAAAGACUGAACACAGCUACAACAUACACAACUACCUAUUUGGACCCAGCUGAAAGUAUUAGUCCCCUUCUUUCUGUAAUUUCCAAGGACUUGCUACAAUG